UGAGGAAUAUUGGUCAAUGGGCGAGAGCCUGAACCAGCCAAGUAGCGUGCAGGAUGACGGCCCUAUGGGUUGUAAACUGCUUUUAUAUGGGAAUAAAGUGAGGGACGUGUCCCUUAUUGCAUGUACCAUACGAAUAAGGACCGGCUAAUUCCGUGCCAGCCGCCGCGGUAAUACGGAAGGUCCAGGCGUUAUCCGGAUUUAUUGGGUUUAAAGGGAGCGUAGGCUGUUUGUUAAGCGUGUUGUGAAAUGUAGGAGCUCAACUUUUAGAUUGCAGCGCGAACUGGCAGACUUGAGUGCGCACAACGUAGGCGGAAUUCAUGGUGUAGCGGUGAAAUGCUUAGCUAUCAUGACGAACUCCGAUUGCGAAGGCAGCUUACGGGAGCGCAACUGACGCUAAAGCUCGAAGGUGCGGGUAUCGAACAGG
rnacentral:rRNA from 1 species